AGAGUUUGAUUCUGGCUCAGGAUGAACGCUGGCGGCGUGCCUAACACAUGCAAGUCGAGCGAAGAAUGAGAAGCUUGCUUUCAUUACUUAGCGGCGGACGGGUGAGUAACGCGUGGGUAACCUGCCCUGUACAGGGGAAUAACAGUUAGAAAUGACUGCUAAUGCCCCAUAAGCCGACGUAAUGGCAUCUUUAUGUCGGAAAAGAUUUAUCGGUACAGGAGGGACCCGCGUCUGAUUAGCUAGUUGGUGAGGUAACGGCCCACCAAGGCGACGAUCAGUAGCCGACCUGAGAGGGUGAUCGGCCACAUUGGAACUGAGACACGGUCCAAACUCCUACGGGAGGCAGCAGUGGGGAAUAUUGCACAAUGGGGGAAACCCUGAUGCAGCAACGCCGCGUGAAGGAAGAAGUAUUUCGGUAUGUAAACUUCUAUCGACAGGGAAGAAACAAAUGACGGUACCUGAAUAAGAAGCACCGGCUAAAUACGUGCCAGCAGCGGC
rnacentral:rRNA from 1 species